rnacentral:lncRNA from 1 species
UCUCCUUCUCUUUAAAUUCAAUUCGUACCGUCCGAUCAAAUAUCGAACGGAUUAAAAAUAGUCAUUUCAAAAUCGACUUUCUAUAUAUUUAUCCAUGUAUACAUACAUUUUUCUUUUUCUUAUUUUUUUACUAUUAUUCUUAAGGGUAAUCUCUUUAGGAUCAUCCAACGAAAAGAUCGAACGAAUCAAAAUCAGUCCAAAAUCACUCGACUAACACAACAAUACCAUAGUCUGCAAAGUUUCACCAACUCCCUGCGCAACCCAUCUUCUACACCCCAAAAAUCCGCGCAACAGUGGAGUCAGCACAAUUUCGGGGAUAAGGAUGCAAAUAAGAUUUGGAUUCAAAAAUUCAAAUCCAUCUCGAUAUUGGGUUUCCUUCUUCAAUUUUGGUUUCAAAACCGAAUGUUCAAGUUCGAAUUUGGUCUAUAAAUAGGGUGUUCUUCAACCCUAGAGGACAAGGGGGGAAAUUAGGAGAAAGGGCCACGGAGAACAAGAAAAGUGGGUGAUCGAAAACAACAGAGAGAAAGAGGCGAGAAAUAGUCUCCGUUCGAAUUUUGGAGUGUGAAUCUGGUGGCCGGGAUCCUUGACGGAAAGCUCUAGUUUGCUGCCCAAAAUAAGAUUUGAAUAAUGUAACUCCCUCCCCUAACAGGUUUGUGCAUCAAUCAGAUUUACGGUUAUGUUCAUCUGUAUAAUGCCGCGUAGUAAUCAAAGUUUGCCAACUCAUAUUUGAAAUUGUUUUGUUGGAUCUUUUAAUAAUUUUAAGUGAUCGUUAUUUAACAAAUGAUUAAUUUGCGCUUCUCUUUUAUUUAAUUUUUUUUAGUAUUUUAUUGGGUCCAGACUAUCAUACUAGUAAUAAAAACAAGUGGGUGAUCGAGAACGAGGAAGAGAGAAAGAGGCGAGAAAUUGUCUCCGUUCAAAUUUUGGAGUGUGAAUCUGGUGGCUGGGAUCCUUGACAGAAGGCUCUAGUUUACUGCACAAAACAAGGUAAGCUACUCGUCUAUUUUAUUUUCGUAAUCUGGUUCCAUGUGUCUGAAGAAUAAUGUUCUCGCUCUGGUUCAGACGUGGACUUGGAUUUGGUCUCGUAUGAAAUUUUAAUAUCAUGAGAACGUGCUAUCUCUUUUCGCCUGCUAUCGGGCAUAGUAGCGAAGUUUAUUUUGAAUAAUGUUAUGUUGGGAGUAGCGAACGUGUGUUCGGCUUGGCUGUGUGGCCGAGCAAUCGAAAAAAUGUACAAUAGGGCCACGUUUAGGCUUGUUCCGAGUUUGAGUUCCUAUUAACGUCGUUGUUUUGUAAUCAAGUUUAAAGACGGAUUUCAUACCAAGAUUUCAUUCCGUGGGCUUUGGCGGAUAAACUGUGCAACAUGUUUGAAGAUCCUUUCUUUAUUUUGCCUCCCUUGCUCCUCUUUGGUCGUUUUGAAUAGGCAAAUAUGUAGUGGAAUAUGUUUGGAAUCUGUUUUUGGCCCUAUCAACUGAGUUUAUGAACACAGUUAUAUUCUGAGCUUCCAUUGUUUUCAACGUGUGCAAAUUCCACCACAUAUUCAUCUCUUUUUCUCUUGUUUUGAUUUUCUUGUCGUGGUUAUGUGAUCAACUCAUAUUGUGCGCGUGAUGUUUAAAACUAAGUAUCACACAUGAAUACUUACAUAUGUGACCCAUUUUUUCUUUAUUCGCGCGUGACGACUCCCGAAAGUGAGUUCGAGUCCAAUUUUAUUUUGAAUACAUGGUUGUUAUCUUAAAAUUCAUGUUGUAACCAUUGUUCGCCCAGAGUCUGCAAAUGUAUGAAAGUCGCAUAAUGUGUUAAUAUGUGGAGAUCCAUGAAAUGUGUCUGUAUAUUCACUUUAUUGCUUUCAACAAAGUAGUCUCAUGUGCACGUGUCCAAUUAAAUCUUAGUUUGUCGUGCUUUUCAACUGAAUAUGGAGAGUAACUUAAAAUUCCACCUUCUCUCUUUUCCGAUAUGAUAACAAUACUGUACACUUAUUUUCUUCAAAACAUUUUUAGCAGGAGUCGGCUCUAGAAUUUAAACUCAUUAAUUUGACCCAUUGUGCGACCUUGAAGGAGUUGUCUUCCUAUUUGUUUAACAUACUUGAAGUAAUGAAUUAAAUGAGUUUUCCAUUUGAAUUUUGUUAUAAUUGUAUCUGUGAGAAGAAAGCUUACAUGGUAAUACUACGAUAACCAUUUUGAUAAGAACGGCUUAUUAGUAGGUAUCUGUGUAUUAGUUAAAUUAUCCUAUUACUUUAUAUAAAGAAAGAAGGUUGAAUAUCAUAUCCCAGUAAAAUUCAAUUCAUACACCGUGUUUAUGCUUAUAUAUUUAAUAUAUUAUUCACAUGGUCUUUUCCCUUUUGAACCUUUUAAAACUUAAGGAUUUACUUUUAUCACCACUAUUAGCCUUGGAAAAGCUUAAUUUUUAUUUACUUUUAUCACCACUAUUAGCCUUGGAAAAGCUUAAUUUUUAUGUGUUAUGUGUCAGGCUGUCAUUUUCUAAAGAAGCAUUUUCCUUAGAGCAUUUCUAUCACAGUUAUUUGUUUUAGAUACAAAUUACUAGUUUCUUGUUAGAGCCAUUAAUUUCCAAAAGUAGUCUGCACCACUAAUGUCCUAGUGACGUUCAUUUAUAUUCUUUAGUCAUAAUAUUUUUUAAUAUAUUUUUUAAUCGAUUCCUAACUUUACCACUUUUCUAUUUCAUGUGAACUCCAGAGUUGGAGUUCAGCAGUGAAACUUAUUUUUGACCCGAUCAUCGGAUCAAUCACUACGUAGGAUUGCAGAGCCUCGGAGUCCCGCAAAUUAGGGUCCUAAACUCCUAACGGAAUCUAGUGUUCUUUGCCAUCCUUGGAUUUACUUCAUAUUCUUAUUGCAUUGAGUUUCUCUUUAUAACUAAAUCUCAUUGUCUAUUUUGUUGAAAGUAGUUUUUAUUUGAUUGUUGAACUCAUUUUGCUAUGCUACUUGUUGAUUUGUUACGCAGUUUAGCAUCCCGACUUUUCGUUAAUGUCACAUGAUCGCUAUUAGAUGAAAAUACAAUCCAUCGUACUUAAUUAGCAUAGCAACCUCGCGCUUUUCUUUAAACUAUACCGAAGAUAAAAAAUGAUAUUUUUACGCUCGCUUAUGCCAAAUAAGUUACUAAAACUCACUUUUCUUUUUUAAGAGGUCACUUGCUAAUUUUAACUUAUUUCCAAUAAAAUAAUAAUAAAAUUUUAACUUUUUGUAUGUUAUUAUAUCUCUUCAACGUCCAUUCAAAUUUUCAGGUUCAAGUAAAUAUGAGGUAUAUACAUUUUUUUGUUACUAUGUACAACGUAUUUGUAUUUUCACAAUAACUAUUUUUCAUAUUUAUUAUUAUUAUUAUUGUUGUUAUUAAUAAUUUUAUCUUAUUAAUCCCUCAACAUAUUUUUACAUACUCCAAAAUACAUAUUUCAUAAACAAAAUUCUCAUAAAAUACACUCUUAUUUACUCUACAAUAAUUUUUAAACUUUGCAUAUUUUUAAUUUCUGUAUGGAAUCUUGCAUUUAUAUGAGGGAAUUAGAAUGCUCCUUUUACGUUUAAAUGCAUGUAUAUGUUUACAAUUAUUAUGUUACAUUCUUGUACAUGGUAGCAUUACAUCUCCUACACCUCAAAGUUUCUCCUUGAAAAAUAAAAAAUAAUAAUAAAAGUGUUCUUAUCACCGUUUAAGCAAGUGAUAAAAAUAAAAGUUUCUUCCUAAUAUUUUCUAAGCUGAGCGUAAGGAAUAUCUUCGAAUAGGCUCUGAGGGGUGCCUAAUACCUUUCCCUCGAGUAAUCAAAAUCCUUGGAAUUUUAAAAUGUUUUCAAUAGACCAAAACAGAGUUUUACAUAAAAAAUAAUUUUUAAACAAAUUAGGUGGCGAUUCUAAAAAAAAUAAAUUCGCAAAACCCGAGAGUCACGACAUAGGCCCCCAUACGUUGUGUGCUGUUUCGACCUGUUCGAAAUAGGGUGCGACACAAUUCUAAAGAGAACGACUCUUAUAGAAAUCAUUACUUGCAUAAAUAACGAAUAAAAGACAGUAGUAGGUUUUCGGACGUACCUGUAUCAUAGCGUGGAGCUUUUAUUCAGAUUGACUUUAUCUAGUGACACUCUCAGAGUUUGCAUGCCAAAGUAGGACAAUGCCGCCGAUUGUCCUUGAGCAGGAACUUCCCAGUAAUCAUCGAACCCAAAUUCAUACAAAAGGCUCAAAAUGAUCAUGCAACUUAGUUUCCAAUAGUGCAACCAGGCAAGAAUUAUGCGUGGUAAGUAAUUCUCUUAAAUUUUGCCUAAAAUUCUCAUUAUUAACUCCACCUGUAUUCCCAACAACAAAACUAAUAGUUUGCGUCAUGGGGGUGAAAAAGUUUGAGUGGGAAAAGGAGCUGGCCCCAAGAGGAAAUUCACUGCACCCAAGUAUUGGUGUCAUCACUACUGCAGACUUGGCUAUGACACUGUUGAUGGCCGAACGCAGGUCGAAGAUCUUCAGUAGAGAGAUUGUACAGAGGUGGACAUACUUUUUGUCCUCGUCCUCGGGAAAUAUAAUGAGACUUGCUUCUUUGAAGGUGGAGAUCUUCGUGAAGGAGGUUCUCUUCAUAUGUUCGGUCUCGUGUGCUUGGACUGGGACUAGUGGCGGAGUAAAGGGUACCAAAAAUUGGCCCUGUUGAACCGCAUUGUUCACUGACCGAGGGGUGAAAAAUAGGGUCAGAGCAGCUUUUUGCGUGUUUGGGAACUGAACUAGUAGAUGGGGAAAAUUCCAUAACAUCUGCAUUGUGUGGAGAAAUUAUGGAGUGACUGAUGGGCUAUUGGAUCCAUGAUGUUCGUGAGCCAUAUUUGGUUCAUGAAGUAUUCGAUGGCUUGUUUCACGCCCUCUGAGAUCAGUUGGGAUAGAAAUUUUUGAUUUUAUAGGAUGACCAAUGUUUCGACUCCGUUGAUGUCUAUUGAGAACAAUGCAACUUGUCCUUGGAGGGCUUUUUUGAUCCAUGUUUGUGGCUGAUGGAGGGGAUGGACUGGUUUUGUUGCAUAGAGAAGUGGAUGGCGGGUGACAUGACGUGGUCUUGGUAGAACGUCUAUGUUGAGGAAGCAUGGAAAAUCGAGGGACAGGAAAAAGACGAACUUUCUGGUGAAGUGGGACAACAAUAUGGUUAUUCAUCUUUAGUUAAGUAGUUUGAAGUAAUUAAGUAAANNNNNNNNNNNNNNNNNNNNNNNNNNNNNNNNNNNNNNNNNNNNNNNNNNNNNNNNNNNNNNNNNNNNNNNNNNNNNNNNNNNNNNNNNNNNNNNNNNNNNNNNNNNNNNNNNNNNNNNNNNNNNNNNNNNNNNNNNNNNNNNNNNNNNNNNNNNNNNNNNNNNNNNNNNNNNNNNNNNNNNNNNNNNNNNNNNNNNNNNNNNNNNNNNNNNNNNNNNNNNNNNNNNNNNNNNNNNNNNNNNNNNNNNNNNNNNNNNNNNNNNNNNNNNNNNNNNNNNNNNNNNNNNNNNNNNNNNNNNNNNNNNNNNNNNNNNNNNNNNNNNNNNNNNNNNNNNNNNNNNNNNNNNNNNNNNNNNNNNNNNNNNNNNNNNNNNNNNNNNNNNNNNNNNNNNNNNNNNNNNNNNNNNNNNNNNNNNNNNNNNNNNNNNNNNNNNNNNNNNNNNNNNNNNNNNNNNNNNNNNNNNNNNNNNNNNNNNNNNNNNNNNNNNNNNNNNNNNNNNNNNNNNNNNNNNNNNNNNNNNNNNNNNNNNNNNNNNNNNNNNNNNNNNNNNNNNNNNNNNNNNNNNNNNNNNNNNNNNNNNNNNNNNNNNNNNNNNNNNNNNNNNNNNNNNNNNNNNNNNNNNNNNNNNNNNNNNNNNNNNNNNNNNNNNNNNNNNNNNNNNNNNNNNNNNNNNNNNNNNNNNNNNNNNNNNNNNNNNNNNNNNNNNNNNNNNNNNNNNNNNNNNNNNNNNNNNNNNNNNNNNNNNNNNNNNNNNNNNNNNNNNNNNNNNNNNNNNNNNNNNNNNNNNNNNNNNNNNNNNNNNNNNNNNNNNNNNNNNNNNNNNNNNNNNNNNNNNNNNNNNNNNNNNNNNNNNNNNNNNNNNNNNNNNNNNNNNNNNNNNNNNNNNNNNNNNNNNNNNNNNNNNNNNNNNNNNNNNNNNNNNNNNNNNNNNNNNNNNNNNNNNNNNNNNNNNNNNNNNNNNNNNNNNNNNNNNNNNNNNNNNNNNNNNNNNNNNNNNNNUGACUUGAAAGUGAUUAAGUGCAGGUACUUGAAAUGUGAAUUUUUCAUUUUGAAAAUUGUUAAGCUUGGUACCUUGUGAAGUGAAUUAGUGACUUGAAAUGUUUAAGUGUAGGUACUUGAAAUGUGAACUUUUCAUUUUGAAUUUAGUUUAUUUUGGUAACUUGUGAAGUGAAUUAGUGACUUGAAAAUGUUUAAGUGUAGUUACUUGGAUUAUGAAUUAGUGACUUUUGUUUUGAAUUUAGGUACUUGAAAUGUGAACUCGUGUUUUGAUUUUAGUAAAGUGUGGUCACUUGAGAAGUGAAUUAGUGACUUGAAAAUGUUUAAGUGUAGGUACUUGAAAUAUGAACUUUUAUUUUGAAUUAAAUUUAAUUUGGUAACUUGUGAAGUGAAUUAGUGACAUGAAAAUGUUUAGGUGUAGGUACUUGAAAUGUGAACUUUUCAUUUUGAAUUUAGUUUAGUUAGGUAACUUGUGAAGUGUCUUAGUGACUUGAAAUGUUUAUGUGUAGUUACUUGCAUUAUGAAUUAGUGACUUUUGUUUUGAAUUUAGGUACUUGAAAUGUGAACUUACGUUUUGAUUUUAGUAAAGUGUGGUCACUUGAGAAGUGAAUUAGUGACUUGAAAAUAUUUAAGUGUAGGCCUUUGAAAUGUGAACUUUUCAUUUUGAAUUAAGUUUAGUUUGGUAACGUGUGAAAUGAAUUAGUGACUUGAAAAUAUUUAAGUGUAGGUACUCGAAAUGUGAACUUUUGUGACUUGAACUAAUGAAUUGAAUGUGAUUGAUUGUGUAGAUGGAACCUGAUUAUAGCUGGAUAUAUCAACGAAAUAUUGAUAAUAGAAUAGGUGAGGCUGAGAAUGAGGAUGCGGAGAUAAGUUGUAGUUUUUAGUCUUUUGUAUGUUUUGUAGUUUGGAUUUGGAACCUCGACAAAUUUUGUAAAUAAUUUGAUUUUUAAUGUUUGCAUUCUUAUGGUGGUUGAUUGUAUAUUAAAUGAUUGGCGGGCUAUAUUGUAUAAUGGAAUGUAGCAUAGAUAUAUGCUAUUAUUUUUUUUACAAAAUUACCAGAAAAGUUUUUUCAAUAUUUCUUUUAUAAAAUUACCAGAAAAAUCGACCAUAUGUGGUUAAUUUACUAUAAUUAAUUAAAAUUAUUUUAUUAAAUAAUAAAAUCGACCACUAGUGGUCGAUUUUGAAUUUAAAUUAAUUAAUUAAUUUUCACAAAACCUACCACAUGUGGUCGGUUUUGUAUUUAAAUUAAUUAAUUAAUUUUAAUAAAACCGACCACUUGUGGUCGGUUUUGUUUUUAAAUUUAUUAAUUGAUUGUAAUAAAAUCAACCACAAAUAGUUGGUUUUUAUUUAAAUUAAUUAAUUAAUUUAAAAAAAACCGACCACAUGUGGUCGAUAUUUUUAUUUAAAUUAAUUAUUUAAUAUUUACAAACCCAACCACGUGUGGUCGUUUUUUAAUUAAUAUAAUUAAUUAAUUUUAAAAAAAUCAACCGCACGUAAUCGGUUUUUGUAAUUAAUUAAUUAAUUAAUUUUUAAAAAACCACAACCACCUCUACAGCCUUUCAUGGAUUGUUUUGCAGAAGAUUCAGAUGAUGAGAAUACUAUUAUCUAAAUUAAUUAGUAGUGUAAUCCUUUUAAGGUGGUGUUGGACAUCGAUCUACAUUAAUUAGUUAUAUUAUGUAAGCAAUAAGAUUGUUAUUAACUAUGAAGUCAGUCUCAUUUUUUGGUCUUUUUUAUUGUGUCUCUCCCUUGACUUACAGAUAUGCCAACAAAUUUUAGUUAAUGGCAAAACACACUUGAGCUAUCAUUUUUGCGCGAGCUUCACGCCUCAACUAACAGGAUGUUUCUUUUUUCUAUUCGAACUAUCAACAUCUAUGCCUAAAACACACUUCGAAGCUGAUUAGACCAUCAGUUUCCCUUUUCCUAUCUAGAUUAUCACUAUCUACUCCACUAGGUGUGUUUAAUAUGUAAAUUAUGAUAAUUCAGGUAGAAAAAUGAAACAAUCGGUGCACACUGGAUUUCAGGAAAAGCGCGACUACCAUACAAACUAAGUUUAGAAAACAUGCAUUUGGUACAAAGUUAGUGCAGUAAUACACCUUAAAUUACAACAAAAAGACUGGUGGGUAGGAACACACACUCAAUCCAGGCAAAUGCUGACAUUCAGCUACAUGUAACGAUAUGGUGUCUGAUAGAAACAAGAACUGAAAGCCUUCAAUCAUCUGCGCGAUCUUUGAACUUGGCAGUGGUAUUUCCCUGCUUUCUUUUUCCGAUAUAUUUCACCGAUGCUAGGUAUUAGCACGUCGUUUCUUUACAUCAACAUUGCUAAACACCCUAAGAACUAGUCCAUCAACCAUCUUGUUGUAACAUUUUCUUCAUCUUUUGGAAACCAAGAGCGGUAGAAAUAUCAUUGACACACUCACUGCAAAGCCAAAUGCAGCACCUGCAUAGAUGUCGGUCCUGCUAAAGAAUUGCUCGUCUUCAGAUGCUGCAGGCUGCAGAGGUGGUUGUGGUUCUUCUCUGUCAUUACUGCAAGCUAAGUCACCUCCCAAAAACACAAACUAAACUACCUUCAAAAUGAUAAAUUCAGCUUUUAAAUACCUACAAUUAGUCAAUUUCAAAUCUCUAAGUCACCACACAUGUUACCAAACUAAACUACAUGUAAAACAAAAAUCCACGUUUCAAUUAACUACACUUAGUCAAUUUCAAGUGACUAAGUCAUCUCACAUGUUACCAAGCUAAACCACAUUCAAAACAAAGAUUCACAUUUCAACUAUCUAUACUUAAUUAAUUUCAAGUCACUACGUCACCUCCCAAAAGAACAAACUAAACUACCUUCAAAAUGAUAAAUUCACCUUUCAAGUACCUACACUUAAUCAAUUUCAAGUGACUAAGUCACCUCCCAAGUUACCACACUAAACUACAUUCAACACAAAAAGUUUCAUUUCAACUAUGUAUACUUAAUCAAUUUCAAGUCACUACACUCAAACCAUUUUCAAAUAACUAAUUGACAUUUCAAGUUAUUAUACUUAAUCAUUUUCAAGUCACUAGUACACAUUUCAAGGAUAUGUAUGAUGGAGCGAAAACCCAGGUGAGGACGGCGGGAGGAGACUCGGAGCAUUUCACUGUCCUGACAGGAUUGCAUCAGGGAUCUACUCUUAGUCCCUUUUUGUUUGCGUUGGUGAUGGAUGUGUUGACGCGGCGUAUUCAAGGGGAGGUGCCGUGGUGUAUGCUUUUUGCAGACGAUGUAGUUCUGAUAGAUGAGACUUGAGAGGGUGUGAAUGACAAAUUAGAGGUGUGGAGGCGAACUCUUGAGUCUAAAGGGUUCAGGGUGAGCAGAAGCAAGACAGAGUAUGUGGAAUGCAAGUUUAAUGACGUGAGGCGGGAGAAUGAGGUAGUAGUGAAGCUGGAAGCACAGGAGGUAUGUAAGAGGGAUAAGUUCAAGUAUCUUGGGUCCGUGAUCCAGAGUAACGGUGAGAUUGACGAGGAUGUCUCGCACCGUAUUGGGGCGGGAUGGAUGAAGUGGAAACUCGCAUCGGGGGUGCUGUGUGAUAAGAAGGUGCCGCCCAAGCUUAAAGGCAAAUUCUACAGGGUGGUAGUCCGUCCGGCCUUGCUGUAUGGAGCGGAGUGUUGGCCAGUUAAGAACUCCCACAUCCAAAAAAUGAAGGUGGCAGAAAUGCGGAUGUUGCGCUGGAUGUGUGGACUGACCCGAAGGGAUAGAGCUCGGAAUGAGACUAUCCGGGAGAAGGUUGGGGUGACUUCAGUGGAGUGUAAGAUGCGGGAAGCACGAUUGAGAUGGUUCGGACACGUGAAGAGGAGGGGCAUGGAUGCCCCGGUCCGUAGGUGUGAGAGGCUAGCGUUGGAUGGUUUUAGACGGGGUAGGGGUAGACCGAAGAAGUACUGGGGUGAGGUGAUUAGGCGGGACAUGGAACAGUUACAGCUCACCGAGGACAUGACCCUAGAUAGGAAGGUCUGGAAGACGCGAAUUACGGCAGAGGAUUAGGGCCUGUUCGGGUCGCUAAUGUAGGGAGGUAAUUGGUGGGGGUGUAUUCCUGGUAUGAUUCCGUAUUCAAUGUUCUGUUCCGUGUUCCGUGUUCUAUGUUUGUUACGAAUCUGUGUGCUUUCCUCUGCUUUAUAUUCCUGCAUCCCUGCUUUACUCUGUUUUAUAUUCCUUAUGGCUGCAGUAUCUAUGUUAUGUCAUCUGCUUCUGUGCUGUACUAUGUGUUUGUUUGAUAUCUCGUAACUUGAGCCGGGGGUCUUUCGGAAACAGCCUUUCUACUUCAUCAGAGCCCCCCCAGACCCCACUAGGUGGGAAUACACUUGGUUUGUUGUUGUUGUUGUAGUACACAUUUCAAGUCACUACAUUUAACUAUUUUUAAAUAACUAGUAGACCUUUCAAGUCACUAAACUUAACCAUUUUCAAAUAACUAAUUCGUAUUGCAUGUCACUACGCUUAAUCAUUUUCAAAUAAUUAAUUCACAUUUCAAGUCACUAUACUUAAACCAUUUACAAAUAACCACUUCACAUUUCAAAUAACUACUCUUAACCAUUUUCACGUAACUACUUCACAUUUCAAAUAAUUAUACUUAAUCAUUCAUUUCAAAUCACUAUACUUAGAGCCCGUUUGGGAUUACUAUUACAAACCUGCUUAUUUGAGAAACACUUUUAUAAAAUGGCUUUUCGAAAAAGUGCUUUAAAAAAAAAUAAUUUGUGUUUGGUAAAUUAAUUUGAAAAGUGCUUUUGAUAAUCAAAUUGUGUUUGGAUAAUCUUUUUUAAGAAGUAUUUUUUUGAGAUAAAUGAUCAAAAGGACAUCUAUCAAUAGACUUUUAUUACUAAAAUCAAUAGAAAAAAUUUAUUUUAAAUAUCUAUCAUAAUAUUUUUAAUUAAAUAUUAUUUAUUUAAUUAAAAAGUACGUACUCUAAAAUUUUUAAUCAAUAUUUAUAUACAUAAAUACAUUAAAAAAAUUAAAUGGUGAUAUAUUACUUAAAUAAUUUAAAUAUUACUUAAAAUAUCAAACAAAAAUGAAUACAAAAGUUAUUUCAUAAAUUAAAUCACUACAUAUGAAAAAAUUAACGAUAAAAAUAAUUAGCCCUUCAUACAUCACAAAAAUUUUCAAUGAUUUCAUCUCUAAUUUUAUCAUGCAAUGUCUCCAUACUUAUAGAAAGUCUGUCUUGUAUUUCUGAAGGUAUACCAAGAGAUUGGUCUGCUUCUUCGAUCUCUGUGAUGAUGUCUUCGUUAACAUAAUAGUUAAAGUAUUUAUCAGUAGUAGAGUGUUGUUGUAUGAAAUUAUGUAUAGCAAUAGUAGUUGUAACAAGAUAAACUUGAGUGUCGAAUUUAAAAGAUGACAUUGAACGUAGGAGAGCAAAUCUAUUUUUUCAAACUCCAAAUGUUCUUUCAAUUGUAUAGAUCAAUUGAAUCUAUCUGUUUUUUGUUACCUUAUUUUAAAAUUAGAAUCUAUCUUCUUUUUGUUUCCUUAUUUUCUUGAUACAUUUACUUUGUCAAAUUUACUAAAAGUAAGCAAACACUAUUCUCCUGCUUACAAAUAUCUAAAUGAGAUAAUAUCUGUUAUUUUUUACCUUUUCUUUUGAAUAUAUUUUUAUCGUGUCAAUUCUAAAACUAAGUAACCUAAUUCAUAUAUGUAUACUACAUGAUAACAAAUAUUUAAAAUAAAAUUCUAUCUAUUAUUUAUUAUUUUUUAAAAUAUAUUUUUACUGUGUCAAAAUUUACUACGAAUGUAUAUAUUUUUACUGUAUCAAAAUUUACUGUGUUAUUCUAUCUGUUAUUUUAAAUAUAUAUAUAUAUAUAUAUAUAUAUAUAUAUAUUGUAACAAAUAUGUCAUUUUUCAUGAAUUAUUUAUUUAAAAUUAAAUAUUCAAAAAAAAAAUUGCAUGUGCUAUCAAAAUACAAUCUUGUAAUAUGGUUCAUCUGUCAAUUGUUAUCAUUAAUAAUAAAAUAUAAAAAAUUAUAUAUUAUUUAGUCAUCAUCAUCAAUGAUUUUUUCAAAUUUAUUUAAAGAAAACGAGUGAAAAUAAAAUAACAAUAUAUAAAUCAUAAAUAAUUAUGACGUAAAUAUGAAAUGUAAAAUUUUAAAAAUCAAACGUUGAUCAAACUUGUAAGAUAUGUUAAUUAAUUAAUAAGAAAUAUAUAUAUAUGUGUGUGUGUGUGUGUGUGUGUGUGUGUGUGUAUGUGUGAUAGAGAUAUUUUUGUCAUGAAAAAAUAAUUUUCUGCUUUUGCUUCUGCUUUUUGGGAAAAGCAGAAAUUUUCUGCUUCUUCCCAGAAGCAGAAAAACUGUUUCUGAUUAUUUUUAAAAGCACUUUUGCAAGUUUACAAAACACCCUUUUUUUUAAAAAAAUAUUUUUUUUCUCAAAAUAAGUGCUUAUUUUAGAAAAUAAGCAAUCCCAAACAAGCGCUUAACCACUUUCAAUUAACUAAUUCACAUUUCAAGUGACUACACUUAACUAUUUUUAAGUCACUAGUUCACAAUUUCUAGUAACUACACUUAACCGUUUUCAAGUCACAAGUUCGCAAUUUCAAAUAAUUACACUUAAUCAUUUUCAAUUCACUACACCUAGGGGUGGCAAUUUUAGCCCAUAUUUGUGAAAAGAGUCCAUUUAACCCAUAUUUAGUGAAUUAGAUUACUCAUAUUUCAAAUAGGUAAAUAUGGAUUCAACUCAUUUUAAAAGCUCAUACAAAUAUGGACAAAAUGAGUAAAAUGUGGGUACUCAUUUAAACACAGAGAUCACCCACCUAUGCUUAAAGUUUCAGUGUUUCAUCUUUUCUAGUUUCUUUUCUUCUUUUAUUUUCUUUCUUUUUUCCUUUAAUUUACUUUUUUUUUCAUUUUUUUCAUUUUUUUACUCAUUCCUUAUAAUUUCUUUUGUUCUUUCUCAUUUUUCAUCUAUUUUUUAUUUAUUUAUUUAUUUUUAUUUCUUUUUUCUUUGUAUUCUUUUUUUUUUUCGCUUUCCCAUUUCUCAUUCUUAUUUCAUCAUUCGUAUUCGCUUAAGACCUACAUGGGUUGAUAAAUAUAAGCUUCUAAUUAUUCCAUUUAGCCUAUAUAAUUCAUAACAUCUCUUAUCAAUUAAAUAUAAUCCAUAGUCUCACUCCUUUAUUAUUAUUAUAAUUAUUAUUUUUUUCUAUCUUUUAUUUCUCUUUUUUUUUUUUUCUUUAUUUUUCCUUUAAUUUACUAUUUUUUUCUUUCUUUUUUCAUUUAAUUUACUUUUUUUUCUUUUUUAUUUUUUCCACUUAUUGUUUACUCGUUUGUUACACUUUUUUUCUUUCUUCUUUUUCAUCAUUUUUUUUAUUUUUCAAUUUUAUUUCUUUGCAUUCUUUUUUUUUUUUUGUAUUUCCGUUUCCCCCCUUUUUCAUUCUUGGUUCGUCAUUUUUGUCCUUUUUCUUAUUUUUUUAUAUUNNNNNNNNNNNNNUUUUUUUGUCAUUGCAUUUUAUAUUUUUUUACUUUAAAUUUAUUUGUAUCUUACUAUAUAUUUCAAAUAAAUUUAUUAUUUGUAUUUGAAUAGUUUAGUUGUCAAUAUGUGUAAUUUAUCAUUUGUAUUUAUAUACAAAUAAGUAUAUGAAUUAAAAUCAACAUGGGUUGUGGUGCAGUGGAUGAGUCUGCUCUACCCUUAACCAGAGGUCAAGGGAACGUCCUUGGUUAUGGAGAAAACUUUGUUGAGAUUGCUACCACCUUAAUGGCCCCUGAAACGCCCGAUCCGAAUUAGUCGAGGCUUCGAUGCAGACACCGGAUGAAAAACCAAAAAAAAGUAUAUGAAUUAAUUAUAUUUUCUUGAGACUAAAAUAUAUAUGGCUGAGGAUCCACAUAGCCCUCGAAUUAUAAAUGUUGGGCGAAUAUAAAUUAAUAUGCGGUUAUGGAUAGGUGGAAAAACAUUGAAUUGGGGAUUUCUAUUGAGUCCAAUUAAACUCAAUUGACAAUUGAGUAUAAUAUGGCCAGAAUUUAAAUAAAGUAGGAAAAUUGAAUUGAAUAAAGUUUAUAUUUAAUAAGUAUAGUAACAAUAUAAAAUUAAUAUUAAAAAAAUAAAAAUAUUAUUUUCAAAUUAAUUAUAAAUAAAUUAUGUAAAUAAAAUUAAUAAUGUCAAUCGCAUAAUAAUGUCAAUGCAUUUCGUAUACUACAAACAAUUUUCAAUUAAUUAAUUUUUGAAUACGGUAUUAUAUAUAUAGUACUACAAUGUAUUAAUCUGAUGAAUUAUUGGUUAAUUAGCUUCAUUAUUAUAAAAAGGAGCCAAGUUUAGGCAUUAUUUUUUUCGAUGGGUAGAGGGGGUUUUAACCCCCACAAAUAUAUUCGAUGGAUAUCAGGGGUUAAAAACCCUAUACACACAUAUAUAUAUAUAUAUCAUAAUACAACGUAUUAAUCUGAUGAAUUAUCAGUUAAUUAGCUUUAUUAUUAUAACUUCAAUAGUGUAUUAUUACCUUGAUCAUAUGAUGUUAACAUACUAUUCAAAAUAUUUGGAUAGAUAUAUUCAGUUAGCUAGCUUUUGACUACUAUGUACAUCACUACAUGAGAGAUACGUAUAUAUAUAUACGUACGUAUCUAUCUAUAUAUAUGUGAGUGUGUGUGUGCGCGUGUGUAUGUAUUUGAUUGACCAUUAACUUCGAAAUAUGUUCUAUAGACAUCACAUGCACAAGCAUAUUAUCUCGUAAUACAACAUAUUUUAUAUUUAUUUCGAUGAAUUGUCGUUUAAUUUAUCUUAUAUUAUUAUAUUAUAACUUCAACAGUAUAUUAUUAUCUUUAUGAAACUGACACGUCUUGAAUAACUUAAUAACUAAUUAAAGUGAUAUGACAAAAUUGUUAUAAAAGUACUUGUGAAUUUUUUUUAAGUGUGCCUCAAAUAAGAUGUCAAAUUAAUUUAAAACAUCAAGAUUAUCAAUUUUUAAAAACUUAGAUGACUCAUAAUAAUUAAUUAUAGGUGAUAUAGUAAAAUUACAGUUGAAGCAGUUGAAACAGUCAUGUCAUAAAUGUCUAUUUUAUUUUAUAAAUAUCUAUUUUAUUUUUUAUUAAAUAUUAUUAAUUUUUUAACACGUAAAUAUCAUAUAAUAAUUAAUUUGGGGCGAUAUAGUAAAAUCACGGAGCAAACAGGCAGCUGAAAGAAAGCAUAUGAAUUAUACGACUUUCAACAUAAUUUUCAAGUAAUAUUCCUUUAUCCUAAUCAAUAUGUCAUCCUCGACAUUGUAAUUUACUAUUUAAGUUGUUUGUUAUUGUAAUUUAUAAUACUCUCCCUGCCAAACUUUUGUGUUAUUGAUAGUGAAUUUAGAAUUUAAAAGUAAUUUAAAAUUUUAAUUAUUGUAAUUUAUAAUAAUUUUUUAUUUUAAUUUAAGAGACAUUGAUAUAAUAUCUAUUUCCUCAAUAGUAUGAUAUCAACGUAUUAUUCAAAAUAUUUUGAUAUAUAGAUUCAGUUAUCUAGAUUACUACUAGUACUGCUUAUGUCACUACACGAGAUAUACAUAUAUUCAGUUGUCUAUUGGCUUUCAAAGACGUACUAUAAACAUCACAUGCAUACACGAUUUUACAAUCCCAUAAUAAUAUACAAUGUAUUUCACAUAUACUCAGAUGAAUUAUCAGUUAGUUUAUCUUAUGUCAUUAAUAUACCUUCACUAUAUAAUAUGUAUAUACUAUAUAUAUACCUAUACAUACACACGCAUAUACACACUAUCGAUUAUAUCAAGUUCUAAAUAUUUAUUAUAUACAUCACAUACGUACACGAGUAUAUUAUCCAAUAAUAUAAUGCGACAUAUUUCAUAUACAUACUCUGAUGAGUGAUCGAUUAAUUUGAUUAGCUUACAUUGAUAUAACUUCAACGUACAGUAUAUAAAAAAAGAUAUUUAUAUAUAUGAACUCUUGAUUGCGUACUAUAUACAUCACAUCCACAAGUAUAUUACCUUAUAAUAGAACACGUUCAUUAUAUUCUAAUGAAUUAUCGGUUAUAUAUUAUAUUAUUAUGACUGCAAUAGUAGCAUAACAUUAUUAUCUCAACGGUAUGAUAUAUAUAUACAUAUUCAUUAUACAAAGAUUAUGCUUGUUUAACGUUAUUUAAUGUAUAUACAAAGGAAAAUAUUUAUUUUAUAUAUUGAAACAUAAAUAAAAGAUAAAGAUUAUGUUUAACAUAAUUUGUUUAUUUUGUUUGAAAUAUUUUUUAAUGUAAUUUUUUCACAAAAUCUAAGAUUGAUUGAUUUUUAUUAUUAUUAUAUUGGUUAUUGACUACGUGUGAUCAGUGUAAUUUCAAAAAAUAAUAUAUUAGAUUAUACAUAAAAUUAUUUUUUUAAUAAAAACCGACCACAAGUGGUUAGUUUCCUAAAAAUUAUUUACUUUUUUUAUUUUUUUAAUUCCAAAGGAUAUUACUUUAACUGUGGCAAAGUUGGUCACAAGUCGAAAAAUUGUUGGAAUCCCAAAAAGGGCAAUAAAAGGAUCAAGCCAACAUGAAUGAAUUCAAAGAUUAAGUGGACGAUCUAUGUGCUAUGCUUUCGGAGUGCAACUUAGUUGAAAAUUCUAGAGAGUAGUGGAUUGAUUUAGGUGCCGCCACCACAUAUGUGUCAAUAAAAAAUUAUUUACAUCGUACGCUCCGACUUAUGCUGAUGAAAAGAUAUUCAUGGCUAACUCUGCUAUGGCAAAAGUUGAAGUAACAGGCAAGAUUUGUUUGAAGAUGACAUUGGGUAAGGUAGUGACACUCAAUAAUGUUCUUUAUGUUCCGUAGUGUGGAAGAACUUAGUUUCUACUUCAAUUCUGAAUAAGAAUGGAUUCAAAUGUAUAUUUGUUUCUGACAAAGUUAUAAUUAGUAAGGGAGAAGUGUAUGUAGGUAAAAGUUACCUCACUGAGGGCAUUUUCACCAAGGACCUUUUUAAGAUCAAUGUAAUGAAUGUUGAAAUUUAUAAAAGUUCUAUUACUUCUUACUUAUUGAGUCAAGUGAAUUUUGCUAUGAACGGUUAGGAGACGUCAAUUACUAAACCUUGUAGAAACUGAUUAAUUUAGAAGUUUUACCAAACUUUAAGUGCAAUACAUCAAAGUGUCAAACAUGUGUGGAAUCCAAGUAUGCUAAGCAUCCGCAUAAGUCUGUUGCAAGGAAUUUCAAUCCUGUAGGCGUAAUUCAUUCAGACAUUUAUGAUAAUAAGUCAACACCAUCUCAUUAUGAAAAAAAUAUUUCAUAAUUUUUUUUGACGAUUGCACUAGAUAUUGUUAUGUUUAUUUGCAUAAUGGUAAGAAUGAAGCAAUAGACACGUUUAAAAAAUAUAAAAAUAAAGUUGAAAAUCAAUUAAAUAAAAAAGAUCAAAAUGAGAAAAAGUGAUAAGGGUAGAGAGUAUGAAUCUCCUUUUGCGAAAUAUGUUUAGAAAAUAAAAUUUUUCAUCAAACUACUGACCCGUAUUCACCUCAAUUAAAUGGAAUUGUGGAAAGAAAAAUCAAACGUUAAAGGAAAUGAUGAAUGUCUUACUCAGAAGUUCAGGUUUAUCGUGAAAUUUGUGAGAGAGAAGCUAUCUUUACAGCAAAUCGAAUACUCAGUAGAGUGUCCUAUAGCAAGACACACUCUAUUCCAUAUAAGAAAUCAAAAGAAAGGAAACCUAACUUGAAAUAUUUCAAAGUGUAGGGGUGUCUAGCCAAAGUCGAAGUUCCUAUGCCUAAAAGGAUAAAAGUAGGACCUAAGACUGUGGACUAUGUGUUCAUCAGAUAAGCUACAAGCAGUAACGCAUAUCAAUUUUUUGUUCAUAAAUACGAACAUCCAAAUAUUCAUGAAAAUAUGAUAAUUAAAUCAGAUAAUGUUGAGUUGAACAUAUUUAUCCGUAUAAAAUUGUAUAUGAGCUAUCUGGUGAAGGAUCUAAAUGAUCACGAGAUAAAACAGAUGAGAAUGUACUUAAUGAUGAGAAUCCAAGACAAAUUACACAUCAAAGAAUGUCAACUACCUUCGAAUAAAAUUUUAUAACAUUUCUUCUUGAAAAUGAGACUCAAACGUUUAAAGAAGAUAUGUCAUUUUCGGACUUAUUCUUUUGAAAAGAGGCAGUCAAUAAUGCUAUUGAUUCAGUUAUGAGCAACCAGACUUAGGAUUUGAUUGAUCUUCUUCUAGAAAAUAAAUCUCUAGGUUCUAAAUGGAUCUUCAAAAGGAGGAUGACGGUUGAUGGUACUAUUAGUAAAUAAAAGACAAGCCUUAUUGUGAAAAACUUUAGACAAAAAAAGGCCUUAAUUAUUUCAGACACAUACUCAUCAGUAACAUAGAUAACAUCCAUUCAGAUGUUAGUUGCAUUAACAACGGUAUAUGAUCUUGAAAUCCAUCAAAUUGGUGUGAAAACAACAUUCUUAAAUUGAGAAUUGAAAGAAGAAUUUACAUGGAACAGCCCGAGGGUUUUGUGGUUCCUGAUAAAGAAAGAAAAAUGUGCAAACUUGUUAAGUCACUUUAUGGACUAAAAUAAGCACCCAAACAGUGGCAUACAAAAUUUGAUCAAAUCAUAUUGGUAAACGAUUUUAAGAUAAAUGAAUGUGAUAAAUGUGUUUACAUUAAAGACACUCCAAAUCACAAAGUCAUUAUUUGUCUGUAUGUGGAUGACAUGUUGAUCAUAAGUAGAGACAUUUCUGACAUAAACACUAUGAAAUAAAUGCUUGAGAGCAAGUUUGAUAUGAAAAAUGUUGGAGUUGCUGACGUGAUAUUAGAGAUAAGAAUUUAUAAAACUCCACAAGAGUUGGCGUUGUCGCAGUCUCAUAACAUUGAAAAGGUACUUGAUAAGUUCAAGUAUUUGGAUUUCAAUAUUGUCAAGACUCCAUUUGACAUAAGCGUUGCAUUUCAAAAAGAAUGAAGGUGUAAGUGACUCACAGUUAGACUACGCAAGAGUGUUGGAAAGUUUGAUGUACAUUAUGAAUUGUACCGAUCAGACAUAGCAUGCACUAUUAAUAAAUUGAGUCGGUACACGAAUAAUCUCAAUCAAACUCAUUGAAUGGAAAUGAAAGAGUUUUGGGAUACCUAAAACAUACACAAGACUUUGCUCUAUAUUAUAACAAAUAUCCAACAGUAAUUGAAGGAUAUAGUAAUGCAAAUUGAAUCACCGAAUCAAAUGAAGUAAAAUCAAUGAGUGGAUAUGUGUUUACUUUAGGUAGAGAAGCAGUCUCUUGAAAAUCAUUUAGAUAAACAUGUAAUGCCCACUUUAUAAUAGAAUCUGAAUGUAUCAUGUUAGAUACAGUCGACGAGGAAGACGAAUGACUCCAAAAUACCUUGAAAGAUAUUUCUUAUAGCCUAAACCUCAGCAUCAGUAUGUAUACACUGUGAUAGUCAAACGAAAAUAUGUAGGGCAGAAAGUGUGGCACCUCGAGAAAAUUUUAAAUUAAGUAUAACUUUGGUCUAUAAAGAAAUUACUAUACAAAGAAAAACAAAUAGAGUAGAAUAUUUAUGUAUAAAUAUUAUUUAUACGUUAUUGUUGCUAAGGUAGAGACUUGGAAGUGUUUUUAUGUUAUAUAUAUGAUAAGUGUGUUAUGGGGGCCACCCUUUCUUUAAUAAUUUCCUUAAGUAAUAGUAUGCAAAGGGUUAAAUGUUUCCCGUGUUCACUGGAAAUUGAUUCCGGGAAACUAGAAAUUAAGGUACUCGCUUUGUUUUCUUUCUUUUCCUUACCAACUUAGAAAAUCAAUUAUGACCGUAAGAUAAAACUUGAGUUGGUAGCUGGAGUACUAGUUCUCGACUUCUUUUCCUUCUCUCGGCAUCCACAAAUUCAUUAAAAGAGGAAGGGAGGAAAAGAUUCUUGUAAUAAUUUUAAAAUAAUCUUUGAGGGGUGAAGGUAAAUUCUCUACCCCUUUCUUGAGUUUGAAGAUAAAUAAGUAUCUUGGAGAUGUUUAAUUUAUAUCUUUGCACUACUACUUGAAUUGGGUUUAUGAAAGAAAAUGAGGGAAAAUGGAAAAUCUUAUUUAAAGAGGAGCUUUUGGGAAUUUCUAUCGAUUGGGUAGUUUUACUCUUGAAUUGUAUAAGUUGGAAGAAUUAGAAUUUACUCUGAAUUCUUGAUAAGAAGUUCAAUUAAUUUCGGGCAUAAGUGAAGAUUAUCGGAAUAAGUUACUAAAUGCUCCUGCAGAUUACUUAUGGACAUAGAUGUUAUUCUUGUAGCUACUGAAUUGCAUAUUGGAUAGCAGGAAAUAGUGGUUGGAAGAUUAAAGGCUUCAAUAUCGUAGGUUGAAUUACUUGAGGCUCGAAUUACUAUCGUAGCUAAUAAAGCAUUAAGGUAUGUAAGCUAAAACUUUCCUUAAGGCAUCGCCCUACGUCAUGUACCUCCUCCUGUCAAUGUUAGUAUAAUUCUCAUGAAAUACGAGAGCAGAAUCUUUAUAUUGCCUUACAUUUCAUUCCUUCGUUCUACUUUCAAGCUUAUAAGUAUCUAUAUUUUCCCCUUUGUGUUAAGUUCCAUGAUACUUUCAUAUUAUCAUAAGUUUCUCUUCUUGAAGCUCUCAAGCCACAGUCUAGAUAUAUCACACGUUUGAAGUAAGAGUAAAUGGUAAUACCAUAGUUGCAUUUGUAUAUGUUAGCUAAGCGGUUACUUUAGAAAUUCAUAUGUUACAGGCCUCCAAGUCACUAUUUGAUAAACAUUUAAUGACGGGAGGGUACAUAGGUUUGGCUUGGCAUAUCGCUCGACGUGAUUCUGUGCACAGGAUUGAGACCAGACCACUAUAUCGAGCCCAACCAUUGGGCGUACUCUCCUUUGUGGCAUCAUUUGUAUUUGAAGUCAGUGGGAACGUCAUGUACGAGUUUUCCCUGACUCGAGCCAACAUAUGGCAUAUAUGGACUGCGGGCAGACCCUCAUAGUGAGCCCCUGGGUGGGGCAUACCUGGAUACAGACUGCGAGUACAGUUAUACAUAUGGAGUCAUAGUAAAGAGUAUGUGAGAAACAUAUGCUUCAUACUUCCCUUAGAUUGCCUUUGGAAGGCCAUCUUGUGAUCAUUUGUACGACUUAUAGGAUAAGUGCAUCACCUAGGUAAAGUAUAGGUCCUAUAUUACAAUGAACAUUUUUCUAAAUAUCAUACAUGACGCUAAUAAGGUUGGUGCAUAAGUUAUUAGUUCAUCUCGUAUAUGUGUUAUUUGUUGGCUCAUACAUUUUUCACUUUACCAUUUGACGCAUAUGAGAUUUUGUAUUUGUCUAGCUGUUAUUCUGUCUUUGUUCAUACUAGUACAUGUUGAUUAUGUAUUGACGUCUUGGUCCCACUAUGUUUUGUCAAUGCAGGCUCCGACCCUCAAGAUAGUAGACGUCCACGUUAGGCUCUAUUAUUGUUUUUGACUGAUAUUUUGGUGAGCUCUAACUCUCUCUGGAGCCAGUCUAUGUCUAGUAUUUUUUGAUUAUAUGUACAGGUCUCAGGUUGUGCAUGACGGGCCUAAUGCUAACUAGUCACUUGUAGUAUAUUGUGUUAAUUGACUAGAGGUUUCAUGGACACCGUGUAGUAUUACAUAGUUUUGUUAAUGUAACUCCCUCGUGUAUAUAUGUAACGCUUGUUAAAUACCCUGUCCGUUAUUAUCUUAUAAACUCGCGUACGUCGUAAGUUUAUUGUAAAUUAAGUGUAUACAAUUCAUGUCCGUCAUUAUAAUUUUUAGGCGUGACAAACUUGGUAUCAGAGCGCCUAGAGUCAUGUGUCCUCGGAAGUCUAUGAAGACGUGUCUAGUAGGACCUUACUUAUCGAUGUGUUGCGCACCACUUUGAUAAUUAAAGGACUAUAUGGGCAUUUAAGAAUUUGACCUUUAUAUAUUAUCUAGAUCGUGCAAUAGAGUUAAGUUGUAGGAAGUUACUUUUGACCCCUACUUUGCUUAUUUGUGAUACAGACCAUGUAUGCUACAGAAAAGGAUAAAGCAGCCCAAUAGACCACUACUAGUACUACUCAGGAGGCAACAGCUACCAGGCAAUCUCCCGUAUUGGUGGAUCUGAAUAGGAUUUAAGAAAGUUUGUUAGGUUCUAUGCUUUCAGGUUCUCAAAUGCCCAAAAGAGAAGGACCUACAGGGGUUUCCACACCUCCAGUGGUACCAACGGUAGCUCCUAUUCCCCCAGUAGGUGCCUUAAACCCAAAUAUAAAGGGAGCGAUACAUUUACUUACAUAGUUGGUCACUGCUCAGGCCCAAAGAUAAAAUAUGAACGUACCCGUUCCUACUCAGGGAAGGAUAGCCGAAUCUAGGAUCAAAGAUUUUCUCUAUAUGAAUCCACCAAAAUUUACAGGUUCCAAGCUUACAGAGGACCCUUAACAGUUCAUUGAUGAGACUCAUAGAAUUUGUAAGGUGAUGCGAAUCCCGAAUACAAAUGCAGUUGAAUUGGCCACCCAUCGACUAAAAGAUAUUGUUGUUGACUGGUAUGAGAUGUGGGUUGAUUCGAGAGGUUAGGAAGCUCCUCCAGUAGUUUGGAAAGAAUUUGUAGAAGCUUUCAUGGACCAUUUCAUACCAUUAGAGCUCAGAGAGGCAAAGAUGGAUGAAUUUCUUUCUUUAAAGCAGGGUAAUCUUAGUGUUAAAGAGUAUUCUUUGUAGUUUACACAGUUGUCCAAAUAUGCUCCAUAGGUGGUUAGCACGCAAGCAAAAUGGAUUCAUCGCUUUGUGAAUGGCUUUACGAGUCCCUUGAAGAACCUUCUUUCUGUUGUUGCUAUGAAUAGGGAUUUGGACAUAGCAAGGAUCAUGGCAUAUGCUCAACAGAUAGAUAAAGAUCAGGGAAAUCGUGAAAGAGAUAGCAAGAGAGAGCAGAAUAAGAGAGCUAGGACGGCCAACCAUUAUCAGGGAAGGAGUGGAGCUUUUACUAGUAAAUGGCUACUUAGGAAGACCCAAUCAGCUGUGCGCUCUACAUCUAAUACUCUAAAUCAGUUCUUGAGGCAUAGGUAUGAGUGAAUUCAGACUUCUAGGGCACCAGACUUAUGGUCUCAGAGGGGUGUUAGUCGAGGGUUACCACUUCAUCCUACAUGCAGGCAGUGUGACCGACCAUAUGGAGGAAAGUGUCGGUAUGGUUCUAAUGCAUAUUACUGGUGUGGUAUAGAGGGUCAUAUGGUAUGUGAUUGUCCACAGCUCAAAGAUAAAGGUAGAGGUGAUCGAUCACAGCCUAUAGGGUCUGCAUCAGCUUCUUCUUCAUCAGUGUCUUCUUCUUCUUGCAGUCCUCAGGCAUUAGCAGGAAGAGGAUCUGGUAGAGGCAGAAGGCCUAGUUUGAGCAUAGGCCUGAACCGUAUGUAUGCACUAGCUGGUCGACAAGAUUCAAAAGUAUCUUUAAAUGUGGUUACAGGUACCUUAACUGUCUUUUCAUACGAUGUAUAUACCUUGAUAGACCCAGGAUCUACCUUGUCAUAUGUUACUCCAUUCAUUGCUAAGAAGUUUGAAAUUAAGCUAGAGUUGUUAUGUGAACCAUUUGCAAUAUUGACUCUAAUAGGAGAUUCUGUUAUAGCUAGACAAGUAUAUUAUGAUUAUGUGGUGACAGUAUGUGGUCAUGCUACAUUGGCUAACCCGAUUGAACUUGAAAUGAUUGAUUUCGACAUUAUUAUGGGAAUUGAUUGGUUACCCUCCUGUUACACCACAGUUGAUUGUCGAUCCAAGAUAGCUCAUUUUUGUUUCCCAGGAGAGCCAGUCUUAGAGUAGAAGGGUGAUUUUUGUUGCCUAUAGGGAGGUUUAUUUCCUUUCUAAAGGCACAAAAGCUUAUUGCAAAGGGGUGUUUGUAUCACCUAGUCAAAGUAAAAGACGUUGAGGUUGAGAAGUGAUCACCGACUCUAGAAUCUGUACCAGUGGUGAAUGAGUACUCAGAUGUGUUUCCUAAUGAACUUCCUGGAUUACCUCCUAUUAGGGAAAUUGAUUUUGGUAUUGAUGUGGAUCCCGGUACGCAGCCGAUAUCAAUUUCACCUUAGAAAAUAGCGCCUGCAGAACUGAAAGAGCUAAAAGAAUAGUUAAAGGACUUACUUGAUAAAGGUUUCAUUUGACCCAGUAUAUCACCUUGGGGUGUGCCAAUGCUUUUUGUACUCAAGAAAGAUGGCACGCUGCGAAUGUGUAUAGAUUACAGGCAACUGAACAAAGUAACAAUAAAGAAUAAGUACCCUAUCCCCUAAAUAGAUGACUUAUUCGAUCAAUUGUAGGGAGCUAAAUGCUAUUCAAAGAUCAAUUUAAGGAUUGGUUAUGACCAGUUAAGAAUUUGUGAAGCAGAUAUUCCUAAAACAGCCUUUCGGAUAAGAUAUGGGCACUUUGAGUUCCUUGUCAUGUCAUUUGGACUAACGAACGCUCCAGCAACUCUCAUGGACAUGAUGAAUAGGAUUUUCAAGCCUUUUCUUGAUAUGUACGUGAUUACGUUUAUAGAUAAUAUUUUGAUAUAUUCACGUAAUGAAGCUGAGCAUGCAGAUCAUUUGAGGUGAGUAUUGCAAACACUGAGAGAUCACCAGUUGUAUGCCAAGUUCUCUAAGUGUGAAUUUUGGCUGGCCUCAGUAGCCUUUCUUGGUUAUGUAGUAUCCGGGGAAGGCAUCAAAGUGGAUUUUCAGAAGAUAGAAGCUGUGAAGAAUUGGCCUCAACCAAUUACCACUACAGAGGUGCAAAGUUUGUAGAGGGGCUAGCCGGUUAUUAUAGGAGAUUUGUAGAUGGGUUUUCCUCUAUUUCUGCCCCAUUGACCAAGUUGACGUAGAAAAUGGUUAAGUACCAGUGGUCAGAUGGUUGCGAAAGAAAUUUUCAAGAGCUGAAACAUAGAUUGACUACUACGCUAGUGUUAGCCUUACCAGAGGGCAUCAAAGGAUAUGUGGUGUACUGUGAUUCUUCAGGUAUUAGUUUGGGUUGCAUCCUAAUGCAGCAUGGAAGAGUUAUAGCGUAUGCUUCUCGACAAUUAAAGAAAUAUGAACAAAAUUAUCCCACACAUGACUUAGAGCUUGCAGUUGUGGUUUUCGCAUUUAAAAUGUGGCGCCACUAUUUAUAUGAAGUGCAUAUUGAUAUCUAUACUGAUCACAAGAGUCUUUAAUAUCUAUUCAAGCAGAAAAAGUUAAAUUUGAGGCAAAGGAAGUGGUUAGAGUUAUUGAAGGAUUACGAUGUCAAUAUUCUCUAUCAUCCAGCUAAAGGUAACAUUGUGGUUGAUGCUCUUAUUCGACUAUCCAUGGGUAGUCUAACACAUCUGCCACCUUUUCAGUGGGAAGUAGCAAGAGAUGUUUACAAAUUGGCCAAUCUCGGCAUUCGCCUUUUGGAUUUUGAAGAUGGUGGCAUUGUGGUACUCAGUACAGCUUAGUCGUCACUUGUGGCAUAGGUUAAACAGAGGUAGUAUGAUGAACCCUUAUUUCUCCAAUACAAAGAGAGGACUCAAGAACAUCAAAUCACAAUAUUUAAACUAGCAGGUAAUGGCACCUUGAGGUGUCGACGUAGAUUAUAUGUGCAUGAUGUAGAAGGGUUGCAUCAACCGAUUAUGGCUAAGGCACAUUGCUCUCGUUAUUCAAUCCAUCCGGGGUCUACAAAAAUGUAUCAUGAUCUUAAAGCGAUCUACUGGUGGAACGACAUAAAGAAAGAUAUAGCAGAAUAUGUGGCACAGUGCUCCAACUAUCAGUAGGUUAAAGUGGAACAUCAAAGACCCAAUGGCCUAGGUCAAACCUUUAGUAUUCCUAUGUGGAAGUGGGAUGCUAUUAAUAUGGAUUUUGUCAUAGGCUUACCUUUUUCUUAUUGGAAGCAUGACUCUAUUUGGGUAAUAGUUGAUCGAUUGAUGGAAUCAACCCAUUUCCUUACUAUUAAGUCUACUAGCAUAGCUAAGGGCUAUGCCAAGCUAUAUGUAAAGGAGAUUAUUCACCUACAUAGGACUCCGAUGUCCAUUAUUUCAAAUAGAGGUUCCCCCUUUAAAGCUCGGUUUUAGAAAUCAUUCCAUAGGAGCUUAGGUACGCAGGUGAACCUUAGUACUGCGUUUCAUCCACAGACAGACGGCCAGGCCGAACGCACCAUUCAGACACUCGAAGACAUAUUGAGAGCGUGCGUGCUGGAUUUUAAAGGUAAUUGAGAUAAUCAUUUGCCUUUAAUAGAAUUUGCAUAUAAUAACAGUUAUCACUCCAACAUUGGCAUAGCUCUCUUCGAAGAUUUAUAUAGAAGAUGAUGUAGAUCACCUAUUGGUUGGUUCGAAGUAGGUGAGACACAGGUAUUGGGUCCAAACCUAGUCCAUCAAGCCGUCGAUAAGGUUAAACUCAUACGAGAGCGGUUGAAGACUGACCAGAGUAGGCAAAAAUCAUAUACGGAUGUGCGACGUAGAGACUUGGAAUUUCAAAUUGAUGAUUUUGUGUUCUUGAAGGUGGCGCCUAUGAAAGGCGUUAUGUGAUUUGGUAAGAAGGGUAAGUUAAGUCCCAGGUAUAUUGGGCCUUAUAGGGUUAUUCGCAAAAUUGGCCAGGUAGCCUAUGAGAUAGAAUUACCUCCAGAGUUAACGGUAGUGUAUCUUAUCUUUCAUGUGUCUAUGCUACGUAAUGCUUAGGAUAACUAUCUCACGUCAUUCCUAUAGAGGGUAUUGAAUUUGCUGGAGACUUAUCAUUCGAGGAAGUCCCCGUGGCCAUAUUAGAUCGGCAGGUCAGGAAUUUAAGAUCAAGAGAUAUAGCUUCAGUAAAGGUGUUGUGGAGGAACCAGAAUGUAGAAGAAGCCACGUGGGAAGCAGAAGCAGAUAUGGAAACUAAAUACCCUUAUUUAUUUAAAAAACUAUCAGAAGGUUCUUAAUCUACUUAUCCCUUUAUGUGAUCGUUAGUUCUAUUAUAUUUUGUUCUAUGGAUAUCUGAUUCUUACUUGACAUGUUUAGGUACAUGAUUUGUGCCUAUGAGCCUUGAGAUUUACAUGGAAACAACAUGCAGAUGCAAAGUAUAAGGUAAGUUACAUGGUUGGUUAUGACUUUUCAAUUGCGUGUAAGGCCAAGAGGAGCCUUGUGUACUAUUGUUUUUGAGUUUAAGGCCAAGUGGAGCCUCGUGCAUUAUUUAUUGAAUUUUAUAUGUGUGGUGACGCUCUGUAAAGUGUAUUUGGAUGUAUUCUGGCUAGCUAAUAGGUACCCGAUAGGCCUAUUUACAAAGGAAACUCUGGCGAAAUUUUUGCAAAUUUAGGGAGUUAGUCAAAUUUAAGGCCUCGUGAUGGGUCAAGUGAGGUAGGAGUUGAAUAAAUGAUCUUAAGAAUGUCUUGGACAGUUAUGGGAUGGAAGGUAAGGUGCAGGCAUCAUUCGAGGACGAAUGAUCCUAAGUGGGGGAGAUUGUGGCACCUCGAGAAAAUUUUAAAUUAAGUAUAACUUUGGUCUAUAAAUAAAUUACUGUACAAAGGAAAACAAAUGAAGAAGAAUAUUUAUGUAUAAAUGUUAUUUGUAAAUAACUUUAUUACUGCUAAGGUAGAGACUUGGAAGUGUUUUUAUAUUAUAUAUAUGAUAAGUGUGUUGUGGGGUCCACCCUUUCUUUAAUAAUUUCCUUAAGUAAUAGUAAACAGAGGGUUAAAUGUUUCCCUUGUUCACUGGAAAUUGAUUCCAGAAACCAGAAAGUAAGGUACUCCCUUUGUUUUCUUUCUUUUCCUUACCAACUUAGAAAAUCAAUUAUGACCGUAAGAGAAAACUUGAGUCGGCAGAUGGAGUACUAGUUCUCGACUUCUUCUCCUUCUCUAGGCAUCCACGAAUUCAUUAGAAAAGGAAGGGAGGAAAGGAUUCUUGUAAUAAUUUUUAAAUAAUCUUUGGAGGGCGACUUCAAUAACCUAAAGUUGGAGUUGAAUUUUAAAAGGUAAAUUCUCUACCCCUUUCUUGAGUUUGAUGACAAAUAAGUAUCUUGGAGAUGUUUAUUUGUAUCUUUGCACUGCUACUUGAAUUGGGUUCAUGAAAGAAAAAGGGGAAAAAUAGAGAGUCUUGUUUAAAGAGGAGCUUUUGGGAAUUUCUAUCGAUUGGGUAGUUUUACUCUUGAAUUGUAUAAGUUGGGAGAGUUAGAAUUUACUCCGAAUUCUUGAUAAGAAGUUCAAUUAAUUUCUGACAUAAGUGAAGAUUAUUGGAAUAAGUUACUAAAUGCUCCUGUGGAUUAAUUAUGGACAUAUAUGUUAUUCGUGUAGCUAGUGAAUUGCGUAUUGGAUAACAAGAAAUAGUGGUUGGAAGGUUAAAGGCUUCAAUAUCGCGGGUUGAAUUACUUGAGGCUCGAAUUACUAUCGUAGCUAAUAAAGCAUUAAGGUAUGUAAGCUAAAACUUCCCUCGCCGCUAAGGAACCUCCCUACAUCAUGCACCUCCUCCUGUCAAUGUUAGUAUAAUUCUCAUGAACUACGAGAGCAGAAUCUUUAUAUUGCCUUACAUUUCAUUCUUUCAUUCUACCGUCAAGCUUAUAAGUAUCUAUAUUUUCCCCUUUGUGUUAAGUUCCAUGAUUCUUUCAUAUUAUCAUAAGUUUCUCUUCUUGAAGCUCUCAGGCUACAGUCUAGAUAUAUCACACGUUAGAAAUAAGAGUAAAUGGUAAUAACAUAGUUGCACCUGUAUAUGUUAGCUAAGCGGUUACUUUAGCAAUUCAUAUGUUACAGGCCUCCAAGGCACUAUUUGAUAAAUAUUUAAUGACGAGAGGGUACAUAGGUUUGUAUUGGCAUAUCGCUUAACGUGAUUCUGUGCACAGGAUCGAGACCAGACCACUAUAGCGAGCCUAACCAUUGGGCGUACCCUCCUUUGUGGCAUCAUUUAUAUUUAAAGUCAGUGGGAACGUUAUGUACGAGUUUCCCCUGACUCGAGCCAACAUAUGACAUAUAUGAACUGCGGGCAGACCCUCAUAGUGAGCCCCUAGGCGGGGCGUACCUGGAUACAGACUGCGAGUACAGUUAUAUAUAUGGAGUCAUAGUAAGGAGUAUGUGAGCAACAUAUGCUUCAUACUUCCCUCAGAUUGCCUUUGGAAGGCCAUCUUGUGAUCAUUUGUAUGACUUAUAGGAUAAGUGCAUCACCUAGGUAAAGUAUUGGUCUUAUAUUACAAUGAACGCUUUUCUAAAUAUCAUACAUAACACUAAUAAGGUUGGUGCAUAAGUUAUUAGUUCACAUCGUAUAUGUAUUCUUUGUUGGCUCAUACGUUUUUCACUUUACCAUUUGACUCAUAUGAGCUUCUGUAUUUGUUCAGCUAUUAUUCUGUCUGCUUUCAUACCAGUACAUGUUGUUUAUAUACUGACGUCUCGGGCCCACCAUGUUUUGUCAAUGCAGGCUCCGACCCUCAGGAUAGCAGACAUUUAUGUUAGGCUCUAUUGCCAUUUUCAGCUGAUAUUUUGGUGAGCUCCAACUCUCUCUGGAGCCAGUCUAAGCCUAGUAUUUUUUAAUUAUAUGUACAGGUCUCUGGUUGGGUAUAACAGGCCUAAUGCCAACUAGUCACUUGUAGUAUAGUGUGUUAAUUGACUAGAGGCUUCAUGGACACCAUGUAGUAUUGUAUAGUUUUGUUAAUGUAACUCCCUCGUAUAUAUAUGUAACGCUUAUUAAAUACCUUGUCCGUUAUUAUCUUAUAAACUCGCGUACGUCGUAAAGUGCUUGUAGAGUAAGUGUAUACGGUUUUUGUUCGUCAUUAUCAUUUUUGGGCGUGACAGAAAGUAUGAUGUAUAAUGGUAAAUCUCAUCAUAUAAGACAAAGACAUAAUACUAUUAGAGAACUACUCUCUAGUGGAAUUAUCAUAGUUGACCAUGUGAAGUCAAAUGAUAAUGUGUCAAAUCCACUUACAAAAGGCUUAUUUAGAGAGGAAGUUGAAAUAUCAUCGAAGAAAUAGUUUACAGCCUAGGAGAAGUCAUCACGCUGGCAACUCUACCUAGCAUUCUAGAGAUUCCAAAAGUUAGGUUCAAGGAGAUCAAACAAAGUUGUGACUGGCGGUUCAACAUUGUCAAUAUACUCAAUCUUUUCUCAUGAUGAAUACACUGUUCAUAAAACAAGGAUAAGUUUUAUGGUUUGAAGAUUUUUAAUGGUUUCUAUGUUUGGUAGAUUUGAACAAAUAGUUUGACCUAAAUGGACUAAAAAUUUAGGAAUCACCUAAGUGAGGGUGAAGUGGAAGUCGCUUCAAGGAGUGAUAGUAAAGACCUAUUCUCUAAUCUCUCAUAAAAUCAGAUGGCGUUCAUGGCUAAAAUAAAUAAAAUCGUGAGAAUCAUAUACAAUAAAAGAUUGGUUGUGUGACUUGUGUUUUCUAAGUGUACAUUGAAGUUCAACAAUUUAAAGAUAUCACAUAUACCGAUUGAUCAAGUGCAUCUGGUGCAAGUUCACUACAGAAAGUUCAUAGGAAAACCUACUUAUCCGUAUGCAAUUAGUCUUUAGUUCUAGAUCAUACACUUGUCCAUAAUUUUUUUUAAAAUAGUCAUCUCCAUUCAUGUGGGGAACUAUUGGGUUCUAAGUAUAUAUGUGAAUGAAAAAUGAAGGGAACAAAUGGAGGAAAAAGUAAAGUGAGUUUUCACUUUAAGAAAGUAAAGUUCUCCCACAUUGGUGGGAGAAAGGAACUUUCUUAUGUGAUCAAUCGAGAGAUUGUAUUACUUUAAGAAAGUAAUGUUCUCCCACAUUCGGCUUUAAAUUUGAAUUUGGAAUAUAAUCAAUCGAGAGAUUAUAUUUUUGGCUUCAGCUUCAACUUAAAAUUUAAAUUUUGAAUUUAAAUUUGAAUUUAAAAAUGACCGAUCGAGAGAUUAUAUUUUUGGUUAAAAUUUAUUCGAAACUUUAAAAUAAGUGAAUUUUUUAAUUCAAAAAUCCGAUAAAAAAUAUUUCUCCAUUUGUAGACACAGUGUGAACGCAUUCACAACACACCUAAAAGAAAUGUGAGCUUCAGCUUCAACUUUGGCUUUGAAUUUGAAUUUGAAAAAUAAUCAAUCGAGAGAUUAUAUUUUUGGAUAAAAUUUAUUUGAAACUUGAAAAUAAGUGAAGUUAUUAAUCCAAAGAUCCGAUAGAAAAUAUUUCUCCAUUUGCAGACGAAGUGCACACAUAGUCACAAUGCACUUCAAAGGAACUUGACCCUUCGAGGUACUGUUUUGAAACAAAUAGACGCAAAAUGACAACCUGCACGCCACUUGCGCGCGUAGGUCGGGCGCAGGUUGGGUGUUGUUUCAAAAUAAUGUAAUGUUUGGUGAACUAUUGCUUCCUUUCUGAAGCACCACCUUUUGACUAUAAAUACCUAAAUUUUUCCUCAGGUAAAUGUAUGAUUUUUUUGAGUUGAAAACAUCUUCUUCUUCUUCUUCUUAAAACUCUAGAGUGAUCUUCAAACUAUUGAGUGAGUUUGUGGUUCAGAAAAUUUGAGGUACCACUAUUUUCUAAAGCGAAUCAUUUUAUCUUGGGAGAAGAUAUUCCAUUAACCUCGGGUACUUGAGAGGAAUAAAUUUCUUAAGGACACACCGUCAAUUCGGUGGAUUUGAUUCUAUUAUUUUCUAUUUUCAUCGUACUUUCUUUAAGUUGAAUUUACUGUUUUUCUAGGAAAUAGUAGAAACUUCAUUUUGAUAGUUCAUACAUCAUUUGAACUUGGGUUUGAAGUUGUUGAAACUUGUUUGAAGUUCUUGAAGUUGUUCUUGAACUUAGUGUUGAAGUUCAUCUUGUUAAAUACAAAUUUUAUGUACAAAAUAUAACAGACAUAUCAAAACAGACUAAAGAUUUUUUUCUAUUCUACCCUCAGUAUUAAUUGCUUAUUCUCCAAACCAUGAGUUCAUUAUUAUAGAUCGAGAGGCUAAAUAUGAGUUUGCAUGAACUUGGUAAUUUUUAUAUACUCGAUAUAUAUAUAAUUAUAUAUAUAUAUAUAUAUAUUAAUGUUAAUUAUGCAUGUAUUAAAAAAUUCACUCAAUAUCUAUACUUGUUUGAAUAAGAUAUUUUUAUCUAACUAAACAAGUUUAAGGGGCUAGUUUGAUAUAAGGGAUAAGGGAUAACUAAUCUCAGAAUUAAUUUUAGGAUGAACUUAUUCCAUAUUUGGUUAGGAUAAAAUGUAUGAGAUAACUCAUCUCAAAAUUAGUUAUUUUGAAUUAUAGUGCUAUAUUUAUCCAACUUGAGGAUGAAAUUAUAAUUUUGAAAUAACUAACUCUGAAAGGAUUUUAAUCUUGAGAUAACUUGAUUUCCAACUAAACAACCCUUGGCUAACGACUCAAAGUGAAAAUGCAUAUCACUUGAAAAAAUCAAGUGACAAAAAAUUGUUGUACAAAGCAUGUAUCUUAUAUUUAUUGGUUUGAUUGUGAACGCAUGAUACUAGUAAACUUUUAUUAAUAUUUGAUUGUGUAUUUAAAAGUGACAUCGCUAUAAGACCGUAAAAUUCAUACUUCCUUUAGUUUUAGUAAAUAAGGAUCAAAGAUGAGUGUCCAAAAGUGAAAUUAAAUAAUAUCAAGACUCUCUUUAAAGUAGUCAUGUCCCUCAACUUGAUCAAGGACGUACAAGCACUAAAGCCAUGAAAAUGCCCCAUCAAAGCCAGCCUUAAUGCACACGAACAAAUAAUAGUUUUGAGAUGGAAUUUGAGAUUAACUUUAUCCCGCGAUUGAUUAUGAAUUUUGUUUAAUACUACUAAAAAGGCAGCCUAAUGCACUAAAGCUUCCGCUAUAAUCGGGUCCAGUCACAAGGGUGUCUUACCUCUUGAACACAUGAACUCCUAAUCACAUAUAUGAUAGCAACUUUACUAGUUAGGCUGUUAUUCCAAGGCGAUCCUUCAAAUAAUACUAUUGUCUGUAAUUCUAGGAUUAUUACAAGAUUAUGCUGGUUCGGACACGUGAAGAGGAGGGGCAUGGAUGCCCCGGUCCGUAGGUGUGAGAGGCUAGCAUUGGAUGGUUUUAGGCGGGGUAGGGGUAGGCCGAAGAAGUACUGGGGUGAGGUGAUUAGGCGGGACAUGGAACAGUUACAGCUCACCGAGGACAUGACCCUAGAUAGGAAGGUCUGGAGGGCGCGAAUUACGGCAGAGGAUUAGGGCCAGUUUGGGUCGCUAGUGUAGGGAUUACUUGGUGGGGGUUUUAUUCCUGUUAUGAUUCCGUGUUCCGUGUUCCAUGUUUUAUUACGAAUCUGUGUGCUUUCCUCUGCUUUCCUCUGUUUUAUAAUACUUAUGGGUGCCGUAUUUAUGUUAUGUAAUCUGCUUCUGUGCUUUACUAUGUGUUUGUGUGGUAUCUCGUGCCUUGAGCCGGGGGUCUUUCGGAAACAGCCUUUCUACUUCAUCAGAGGUAGAGGUAUGGACUGCGUACAUCUUACCCCCCAGACCCCACUAGGUGGGAAUACACUGGGUUUGUUGUUGUUGUAUGCACUUCUGUGCAUAUAUAUAUAUGACCCAUGAAUAUUGAAUUCUUGAACUGGAUUAGUAUUGUGGAUUUGUGCUAGCUACCAUUUCAUAUUAUCCAAUUAUUGACGACUUGUGAAUGGUGAAAGUUUGAUGAAGGCUUGGCCUUCAAGAGCAUUAAAAAGAAAUACAUUGUAUUUGCAUGCAUAAUAAGGUGUCCUCAUGUAUAUUAGCAUAUCUCUAUCUCACUGUAUCUGCAUGGACCAUAAGUAUAUCCCAAAAUAAUGCUUUGUUAUAAAAAUUUUCACACGUAAUUUUCCAUUUUAAUAUUUCUAGAAAGUGAAUAAAAUCUUUUCUGACGAAAAAUAAUGUUUAAAAUUCCUAUUCAUUAGUCAAAUACUUGAACAAGUAAAACACAAUGAAUUGACAAGUAUCAGAAAGGGAACUUGAAAUUACACUUGUGUUAGGCCAGGAUUGAGUAAUUAGGCAAUUCUUAAUCCUAUAUUGGAAAGUUGAAUUACUUAUAAGCAAAGAAUUUGUACUAUUAUUUAUGAUCUUAUCAGUUGAAUUACUUAUAAGCAAAAGCUUCAUUGGAUCUUAUUAAGAUCUAACUAAAAAAGUAAAUAAGCAAAAAACUUUGUUGGAUCUUAUUAAAGAUCUAACUAAAAAGUAAGCAUAUAUUUAUGGUAGGCGUUUGGACAUGAAAAUUAAAUUUUUUUGGAGUUAGAGUUGAAAUUGGAGUUGAAGUCAGAAUCGAAGUUGCGUUUGACAAUGUCUUUUUGAAUUUUUUUUUUUUUUAGACUUUUGAAAAGACUUAAAUAUAAUUUAUACUUCCAAAUUUUAAAAACUAUCAAAAUUACCCAACUUAACUACUUUACCUACAAGAUAUAACUAAAUGUGAGGGGAGACAAUAAUAUUGCCUUUGUCAAUGGUGUUACAUCAAGAGUUGCAAGAAUGAACGGAUUAGAAUUUCGUUGUAUCAUAAGGAGAUUUUGAAGAAGCAAAAAAAAAAAUUGAAGUUGCCUUCAAUUUUGAGGUUUUUUAUUGAUGUAAGCCGGAAGAAGAGAACAAUAUGGUGGUAGUUAGACAUUCUAACUUUGGUUGUGGAUCAAAUUAAUAGAGUGCUUUUAUAAAAUAAAAGAUUCUUCUAACCAAAAAGGGUCGUAUUGUGGCCUACUCUAGUCUUACAUAAAACAAUAUUUAUGAGAAAAUAUGCCAUUGUUUACUUUAAGAAAAUCCCAAAGUCGUCAAUAUAUGUUUAAAACGAAAAUCAAACUUCAGUCAUAGGAAUAGAAAAUUGUCAAUAAAUAUAUUGUUCCUCUUCUUAACAAAAGUCAACGUUUACAGAAAAAUCGACGGACAAGAUGGGUUAAUCCGUCAGCAAGAAAAUCAAACGCAAAAUUUUAGAAAAUCGGUCUUGUUUAUCUUUUGGUUCUUCAAUAUGAAGUUGAAUCGAUGAACAGGGUCAACUUAUCUAAAUUUUUAUUCAAAAUUAUUUAAUUAAAAAUAUUUUAAAAAAUAAAAUAAAUUUAAAUUGAGGUUGUCCAUUUGUAUAUUUUUAUUUGGAAUAGGAAAAAACUUUUGGCCACAAAAAUUUGGCUACAAUAGUAAAAAGUCCUAUUCACACUAUAAACUAGUUAGUUUUAUGAUAUUUUUGCUCUUUUCAUCUUAAAUUUGAAUUUUUAAUACUCCCCCGUCUUAUUUUACCCGUCCCAAAUUGGCUAAGUUGAUAUUUCAUUUUACUUUUCCCAUUUUACUUAUCAAGAUAAGACAAACUUUUCUUUUCAUGUUUACCCUUUGCAUUAAUUACCUUUUCUUUAAAUUAAAAUGUAAACAUCAUUUAUUAGGGGUACUUUGGUAAACUAACCAUGUAAUUUAUUAUUUUUCUUAAUUGUUGUGCCAUCCAAAUUUGGGACAAGUAAAAUGGGACGGAGGGAGUAUUACUUUAUUUAAUAACCAUUUUUCAAUACAUUGAAUAUAAUCCCAAUGCAUGAAAAUGAACAAUGGAUUUAAAAUUAAGGAUCAUGGAUUUGAAUUUGUAGGUCAUGUUAUUAAAUUAUUUUUUUAAUAGUAGAUCUAUUUAAAUUAUCAAACUUAUUUAGUCAAAAUUAUAUUCUUAUUCUUUUAUUUUAAAAAAUAUAUUAAUUUAUUACGAAGAAAUUUUCAUACUUAGAAAUCUUUUAUCCUUACUUAAACUUUUAGUUUUUUCUAAAGUCAUUUUCUUGGAUUGUUAUAAAUGUUUCUAGAGUCGCUUAUAAAAAUCACUUUUCGUUUUUACUAAGAUAAUAAUGUCACUCAGUUAUUAAUAUUUUUCUCAAAAAAUCACUAAAUAUCUCAAAAGUUCCCUCCUCUUCUAAGUAGCAUGUUAUAUCAGUAAACCAUUAUUUUUAAAAAAAAUAAUAAACAUAUUAACUUAGCAAACUAAUUUAACCAAAAUAAAUAAUUUUUUUUUUUGAAAAUAUAUUAAUUUAUUAAGAAGAAAUUCUCAUACUAUUUUCCGAGAUAAGCAUUCAGGUUUUUAUAUAUAAUUACCUACAAAGAUCAAUUGUUUUUUAAAGAAAAUAAUAUCACUAAAGUAAAUAAGUUAUCUAGAGAUUUUAAUUUGCAUGUAAAAGUGUGUUGAGUUAUCGUUAGUGAAAUAUUUACCAUUUCUAAAGUAUGUUGAGUUAUCGUUAUUGAAAUAUUUCACAAAUUAUACUUAAAUAUUAUUUAAAUAUAUAGUUUAAUAAUUUGAUCCCUCUCCCCCGGUGGUCCUCCUCCUCGUGAAAUUAACACCCUUAGCUGACACAUUUCAAUGACCUAUAAAUUAAUAUUUUGGUGUAAAUUAAUGUUUUUUAUUCAAUAGGUGAAAGGAGGACAAAUUUAAUCUAGUUGAUAGAAUUUAAUUUCUAAUAUGUUAAGGGUUCGCACUUUUUUUGUAAUUAAGAACUUGAAGAAAAAAUUCUUUUGGCCACGAUAGCCACAAUGAUAUUUGAGUGUUUAUUCACACUUCAACUCGAAUUUUUGGUUACAUUUUUACCCUUUUUCAAUUUAAUUUUUUCUCAAUAAUUUAUUAACUAUUUUCAAUAUAUGGGUUUUUUCAAUAUAUGGGGAUUGAACAUUUUUUUAUUCACUUUACUUGGAAGAAUUAUGUACAAAAAUAAUUGGAUAAAUGCCAUUUUUUUUAUUUUAAUGCUAAGUGAAGAAAUUUAAAAAUAUUAAAUAACUUAUGAUAAUUUGUAUGAUCGAAUGACUUUGGUUAAUAUUAAUUUGACUUUCUAAUUUUAUUUGAAGUUUUAUUUAAAUAUGUAGUAUAAUUUUACACCUAUAUUUUUUGUAAAUAUGAUCUCUAAUUAAGUAAUUUUAUUAAUUAUUAUGUCUAACUAAAUUUAAACUACGCAUUUAAAUACUUUCAAAUAUAAUUUAAAAAUACUUUAAUAAUGACAAUCAAAAUUCAAAACAUUUUAGACAUGAUAUAUAUCGACAAAUUAUAAAAAUCAUAAAAUUAUAUAGUUAAUAUGUGUCAACUAUUGCUAUUUGCUAGCAACAACCAAAGAGAGUCAUGUGUUAAUGUCGUAGUCUUUCUCCCUUAUGUUACAUCGAUUUUGAUAAUUUUCUAUCAUUAGUUAUAUUUUUUAUUAAAAGAAUCUCUAAUAAAGUAAUUUUAUUAAUUAUUAUGCUUAAAUAAAUUUAAACUACAAAUUUAUAUAAAUUUCUAAUAUAAUUUAAAAUAUUCAAUAACAACAGUCAAAACAUAAAAUACUUUAGAAAUAAUAUACAUUUACACGAUAUACAAAUAUUAAAAAUCAUAUAAUUCAUAUGUGUUGAUCAUAGUUAACAACGACCUAAUAGAGUCAUGUAUUAAUGUUGUAGUGUCUUGGUGCUAUUGUAUUACAUUAAUUUGAUAACUUGUGAUCGAAUCAUCACUUAUAUUUGUUGUUAAUGUUUGAUUAAGAUUUUUAAAUAUUUUAAUCACGGCAGUCAAAAUUUAAAAUACUUUAACAUACAUCAACACAUUAUAAUAAUAAUAAAAUUAUUGAAUUCAUACGUGUCAACCCUACAUAUAUAUUAUUAUUACUAUCACACACAUUAGACAAAAAAAGUUAUUUUAUGAAAUAAAUAAAUUAUACAUUUGCUAACUUUUUAAUUUAAAUUAUUUUCAAAUUAAAAAUAAAAGAAAAAUAACAACUUAGCCUCUUUCAUCAAUUUCUCUACGAAUUAAAAGGUGUCGCAUGGAUAUUUCAGUUAAUUUUAUCUCUUUAAUUCUAUAUAGGAGUGAGUAUUGAUUAUUUUGGUUUUCAUUUAGUCGGUUCAAUCUUUCAAUUUUUUUUUACUAUUUUAAUUUUUUAAAUUCUUACUUUUUAAUCUAAAUUUUUUAUUUUACAUUAUUUAUGUUCCGUUUUCGUUCUUUUUAUUUCUCAAUUAUUACUUCUUGUAAUUUUAUGUUAUGUCACAUAUUUUUAUUUUUUAUUUCUUCAUCUAGCAUAACUAAUUAACUACAUUACUAUUUUAAUUUUUGAAUUAAAGUAGAAUUUUAUUGUUGAACGAGUUUAUAGACUCAUAUUUUCUUUUCUUUUGACUAAAUUAUGUGGGUUGUAGAAAGUUAUCAAAAAAUAUGAAUUAAUUAUUUUUAUAAUAUUAGUUAUAAAUAUAUAUUUAUUUAUUAAUAUAUUUUNNNNNNNNNNNNNNNNNNNNNNNNNNNNNNNNNNNNNNNNNNNNNNNNNNNNNNNNNNNNNNNNNNNAAAACUCAUAUAGUUCAUGUGUGUCAAUUUGGUUAACAACAAUCCUAAAAAGUCGUCCGCUAAUGUUGUGGAGGGGCUUAUGCUCUCGUGUUACGCUGAUUUGAUAACUUGUCAAUUAUUAUUUAUAUAUGUUACUAAUACGACCUCUAAUUAUUAAUUAUGUUUAAAUCAUUUUCUUUUAUAAUCAUGGUGUCCGAGCCAACUUGUAAUAAAUUUAAACUAUAUAUUUAAAUAAUUUAAAUAAUAACAACAAUCAAAAUUUUAAAAUACUUUUAGACAUAAUAAACAUCGGCACAUUAUAACAGAUUCUUUUUAGUGAGCGUGUCACAAGCUUACUCCUAUUUUUUUUUUUUUUAGAAAAUAAAGAAUCAAAUUCGAUUUUCUCUCCUAUUUACUACGCCGACGAAGAACUAAAUUAGAAUCCUAAAAAUUAUACAGUUCACAUAUGUUAACCCCAGUUAACAACAGCUAAAAGAUAUCAAGACGCAUUAAUGUUAUAGUCUUGGACCCCUAUAUUAUGUUGAUUUGAUAAUUUAUGGAUCAUUACUGAUAUUUGCUAUGAAUAUGUUCUUUAAUUAAGCAAUUUUAUUAAAUAUUAUAUUUAAAUAAAUUUAAAUUCUAUUUAAAUAAUUUAAAUAUAAUUCCAAAAUAUUUCAAUAUCGAUAGUCAAAAUUCAAAAUAAUUUAAAUAUGGUAGACAUCGGCAUAUUAUAAAAAUCAUAUAGUUCAUAUAUUUUGAUCCUAGUUAACAACAACUCAUGAGAGUCAUGCAUUAAUGUUGUCGUCUUACGUCCUUAUGUUACGUCGAUUUUAUAAUUUGUAUAUUAUAAUUUAUAUUUUUUAUUAAUAUGAUCUCUAAUUAAGUACUAUUAUAUUCAAAUAAAAUUUAAAUUGUAUAUUAAAUAAAUUAUAAAUAUAAUUUAAUAUAUUUCACUAGCGACAGUCAAAAAUAAAAUUAUUAUAUACAUAAUAGAUAUUGACACAUUAUAUAAAUCAUGAAAAUUACAAAGUUCACAUGUGUGGACCCUAGUUAACAACAAUUAAAGAUAUCAAGACAUAUUAUUGUUGUAGUUUUGUACCUCUAUGUUACAAUAAUUUGAUAACCUAUGAAUAUUGCUUAUAUUCAUUAUUAAUAUGACCUCUAAUUAAAUAAUUUUAAUUGAUUAUUAUAUUUUAAUAAAUUUAAACUAUAUUUAAAUAAUUUAUAAGUCUAAUUUGAAAAUAUUUUGAUAAUGAUAAUCAAAAUUCAAAACAUUUUAGACAUGAUAAAUAUUGAUACAUUAUAAAAAUAAUAUUUUUUAUAUUUGUUAAACCUAGUUAAUAUUUUAAGAAAAACACUUUUGUGAUAAACUUUAGAAUUGAAUGACUUUUAUAUAACAAAUAAAUAAAUACAUAAAUUUAUGUGAUAAGUUCAAAUUUAAUUAAUCAUGGACGACCUUUACUCAUAAAUAUUUUAAAGAAUUAUGAUCAAUAUAUAAUAAAAUUAGUUUUGAAAUUUGAUGAAAAAAAAGACUCAACAGAAAUAGAGGGAGAAGCACGAAAAAGGAAACGGUGAGAAUGAGUAGAAGGUGAAGUUUGAUGGGUCUCCUAUUUUAAAGUUAAAUAAAUUUUUUUCUUCUACAUUUAAUGAUAGUCAUAAUUUACCCAACAUAAAUUUUAGUUGCGUUUAAGUUUCAAAUCUAGAAGAUAGUAAAAGCUUAGUAUUGUCUUUAUACAUUUGUAGCCAUUUUUGGGGCAAAAAAUUAUGGCCAUUUAGCAGACGUUCCUUAGUUAAAAUCAACUCUGUCCGUCAGUUUGUUGGACCGACCAAGUCAAACCGACAUGUACCGUCCAUCGGUUUGUGCCAAUUUUUCUUUAAAGACUAAGGGCUCAUUUGUUUGUAAUUCAUGGAGGUCUGAAUCUGAACGGUUCAGACUUCAGACCAUUAAGUGCAUUUGUUUUUUAUUAAGAUUUUAGCUCUUAAUAGGUCUGAAUAGGUCUUAAUCAUUCAGAUCUAGAAUCAAGUCUUAAUAGGUUUGAAAGGUAUUCUGAUGUUGGAUAAUAUUCAACGCCAUUCCAUUCAUAAUCAUUAGUCACCACCACUAACCACCUCCGCCACUGCCACCAUUGUCAACCACAACCUACCACCACCAACCACCUCCACCAUCACAACCACCAUCGACAACAAAUAUUGCUACCUACCACUAUUGUCAACCGUUGCCACACCUACUUCUAUUAAUCUAAUUAUAUUCACCACCACUACCGCCAUCAACACCACCACCAUCAUCAAUCACUAUCGACCAACUCAUCUAUCACGACUAACACCACUACUAACUACCUCUAAUACAUCACAACCUUCACACAUUCUUCGGUCGCCACCAUCAUUAUAACUAGUAACACAACUUCUUCCAUCACUUCAACCACUACCAUCGCUACAAUUUAUCUCUUCUAACAACCAUCUCUACCAUCAUAACUAACAACAUCUCCAACUAGCACCAACAAAUUAUCAACUAUCAAUGCAUUCAUUUUCAGCCAUCACAAUCAACACCUCCAACUACUAACAUCAAACAACGUCACAUCACAACCACCACCGCUACUAUACACCGCCACUAUCAUAAAAAUCACUACAAUACCAACUAUCACCACCAACAUUACUAAUCACUAACAUCAAUCAUUGUCACCACAACCACCAUUAUAAACCAUCUCCACUAUCACUAACAAACAUAAAUAUAUUUUUUUUCAAUCAAAUAAUAAUUUUGUUGUAUUAAAUUACAUAUUUUUUUUGAUAUAUAAUUAGUUUUUUAAUUGAAUUAUAUUUUUUAUUUUAUUAUAUAUACAAAUAAUUUUUGUUUGCACAUUCAGAUGUUGAAAAACAAACAGUGUUAAUCAUUCAGUUUUCAGAUCUAGAGAAAACAUCUUAAUCAUUCACACGUGUAUUCAGAUUCAGACAUUUAAAUCUUAAAAAAAUAAAUACAGCCUAACUCAGUCCAUCGAUUUCGACCCUCUACUUUUUGCACUAUUUUUUAGUAAUGUUACUUAUGUUCGUGAAAGUAUGCUGAGUGAUCAAGCCAUCUUUCAUGCAACGGUUGAUUUUUUAUGUUUUACCUUUUGAGUUAGGGUGAAAAAAGAUUUUCCAUUCCCAAUAUGUUCUAGGAAUUUCGCGUUAUCAGGAUGAGAUGAACUGGUUACAGUGAAUAUAAAAUUCAGAAAGACACUUAAAACACAUUAAAUACUUGAUAGAAAAUCUAGAAACUAUCAUAAAUAAUUUUUUUUAUAAAGAAGAUUUUCUUGAAUCACUCUUGUUCUUUUUGUUCUCCAUUGGAUAAAUCGCGUGUUACAUGAAAUAAUUCCAUGUUUUAUAUAACCAUUCAUACAUGAAUCAUGUAUCACAAAAACCUUUUUUUCACUAGAAUUUGUUGUAUAUAUCUACCAGAUGUUUUCUUUUAUCUUUCUAAUUUACAUAUAAUCUAAUACUUUUAGUUCUUUUUAUAAUAACAAAAAUCAUUUAAUUUAGCCUCAUUAAAAUAGAAUAUUGAUCAAUAUUGCCUUUCCCCUUUCCAAAUGCUCAAAAUGUAAUAGAAAUUUUUAAAAAAAGUACAUAAAAUUAA